rnacentral:rRNA from 1 species
AUUGAACGCUGGCGGCAGGCCUAACACAUGCAAGUCGAACGGUAGCACAGAGAGCUUGCUCUCGGGUGACGAGUGGCGGACGGGUGAGUAACGUCUGGGAAACUGCCCGAUGGAGGGGGAUAACUACUGGAAACGGUAGCUAAUACCGCAUAACGUCGCAAGACCAAAGUGGGGGACCUUCGGGCCUCACACCAUCGGAUGUGCCCAGAUGGGAUUAGCUAGUAGGUGGGGUAAUGGCUCACCUAGGCGACGAUCCCUAGCUGGUCUGAGAGGUUGACCGGCCACACUGGAACUGCGACGCGGUCCAGACUCCUACGGGAGGCAGCAGUGGGGAAUAUUGCACAAUGGGCGCAAGCCUGAUGCAGCCAUGCCGCGUGUAUGAAGAAGGCCUUCGGGUUGUAAAGUACUUUCAGCGGGGAGGAAGGCGGUGAAGUUAAUAACUUCACCGAUUGACGUUACCCGCAGAAGAAGCACCGGCUAACUCCGUGCCAGCAGCCGCCGUAA